rnacentral:rRNA from 1 species
GACGAACGCUGGCGGCGUGCCUAAUACAUGCAAGUCGAGCGCAGGAAACCGUCUGAACCCUUCGGGGGGAUGACGGCGGAAUGAGCGGCGGACGGGUGAGUAACACGUAAAGAACCUGCCCACGGGUCUGGGAUAACCACGAGAAAUCGGGGCUAAUACCGGACGGGUCAUCGGACCGCAUGGCCGAGGAUGAAAGGCGCUCCGGCGUCGCCCGUGGAUGGCUUUGCGGUGCAUUAGCUAGUUGGUGGGGUAACGGCCCACCAAGGCGACGAUGCAUAGCCGACCUGAGAGGGUGAUCGGCCACACGGGGACUGAGACACGGCCCAGACUCCUACGGGAGGCAGCAGUAGGGAAUCUUCCACAAUGGACGAAAGUCUGAUGGAGCAACGCCGCGUGAACGAUGAAGGCCCUCGGGUCGUAAAGUUCUGUUGUAAGGGAAGAACAAGUGCCGCAGGCAAUGGCGGCACCUUGACGGUACCUUGCGAGAAAGCCACGGCUAACUACGUGCCAGCAGCCGCGGUAAAAC